CCGCCCAAAAGGCGGCAAGGAGCCGAGAGGCUGCUUCGGAGUGUGAGGAGGACAGCCGGACCGAGCCAACGCCGGGGACUUUGUUCCCUCCGCGGAGGGGACUCGGCAACUCGCAGCGGCAGGGUCUGGGGCCGGCGCCUGGGAGGGAUCUGCGCCCCCCACUCACUCCCUAGCUGUGUUCCCGCCGCCGCCCCGGCUAGUCUCCGGCGCUGGCGCCUAUGGUCGGCCUCCGACAGCGCUCCGGAGGGACCGGGGGAGCUCCCAGGCGCCCGGGACUGGAGACUGAUGCAUGAGGGGGCUACGGAGGCGCAGGAGCGGUGGUGAUGGUCUGGGAAGCGGAGCUGAAGUGCCCUGGGCUUUGGUGAGGCGUGACAGUUUAUCAUGACCGUGUUCAGGCAGGAAAACGUGGAUGAUUACUACGACACCGGCGAGGAACUUGGCAGGUGCAGUUAGAAGAAGGUGGAAGAAAAAAGAAGUUGACACUCCGAUUUUCCACAUCAUCUAACUAAAAUGGAUUUAAACUAACUUUCUCUAACUAUUAAAUCUUUCUUAGGUAAGUACAGUUGUAUCCCAGCUCUAGAGUUAAUGUGCUGGGUGGGUUUUUACAAAUAAAAAAUCUAAAACCU
rnacentral:lncRNA from 1 species